rnacentral:other from 14 species
UACUGGCUGUGACUACACUGACUUGGACACUUGGCCUUUUGCGGGUUUGAGAGGUAAGCGUCGCGGCCUGCUUCCAGGCUACCCUGAUUUUGGUUCGUGGCUCCUCCUGACCCUGAGAACCUCUGUCGCCUCAGAUCAGAACCGUCGUCGCGUUUCGGGCUACAGCCUGUUGCUGGACUCUGUGAGACACCUGACCGACCGCUGAGCGACUGACUGGUCCACAGCGCCGGCAAGAUGAAGUUCACUGUGGUGGCGGCGGCGCUGCUG